CCUACGCGCGGCAGCAGUGAGGAAUAUUGGUCAAUGGGCUUACGCCUGAACCAGCCAAGUCGCGUGAGGGAAUACUGCCCUAUGGGUUGUAAACCUCUUUUGUCAGGGAGCAACGCCGGCUACGUGUAGCCGGACUGAGAGUACCUGAAGGAAAAGCAUCGGCUAACUCCGUGCCCGCAGCCGCGGUACUACGGAGGAUGCGAGUGUUAUCCUGAAUUCUUGGGUUUAACGGGUGCGUAGGCGGAAUGCCAAGUCAGCGGUAAAAUCGCGGGGCUCAACCUCGCUCCGCCGUUGAAACUGGCGGUCUUGAGUGGGCGAGAAGUAUGCGGAAUGCGUGGUGUAGCGGUGAAAUGCAUAGAUAGCACGCAGAACUCCGAUUGCGAAGGCAGCAUACCGGCGCCCAACUGACGCUGAAGCACGAAAGCGUGGGUAUCGAACAGGAUUAGAUACCCCAGUAGUC
rnacentral:rRNA from 1 species